rnacentral:rRNA from 1 species
AACGAACGCUGGCGGCAUGCCUAACACAUGCAAGUCGAACGAGACCUUCGGGUCUAGUGGCGCACGGGUGCGUAACGCGUGGGAACCUGCCCUUAGGUUCGGAAUAACUCCCCGAAAGGGGUGCUAAUACCGGAUAAUGUCUUCGGACCAAAGAUUUAUCGCCUUUGGAUGGGCCCGCGUUGGAUUAGCUAGUUGGUAGGGUAAAAGCCUACCAAGGCGACGAUCCAUAGCUGGUCUGAGAGGAUGAUCAGCCACACUGGGACUGAGACACGGCCCAGACUCCUACGGGAGGCAGCAGUGGGGAAUAUUGGACAGUGGGCGAAAGCCUGAUCCAGCAAUGCCGCGAGAGUGAUGAAGGCCGGAGAGUUGUAAAGCUCUUUUACCCGGGAUGAUAAUGACAGUACCGGGAGAAUAAGCUCCGGCUAACUCCGUG